rnacentral:rRNA from 1 species
UACGAAGGGGGCUAGCGUUGCUCGGAAUUACUGGGCGUAAAGCGCACGUAGGCGGCUUCUUAAGUCGGUGGUGAAAUCCUGGAGCUCAACUCCAGAACUGCCUUCGAUACUGGGAAGCUCGAGUCCGGGAGAGGUGAGUGGAACUGCGAGUGUAGAGGUGAAAUUCGUAGAUAUUCGGAGGAACACCAGUGGCGAAGGCGGCUCACUGGUCCAUUACUGACGCUGAGGUGCGAAAGCGUGGGGAGCAAACAGG